CAGCAGCCGCGGUAAUACGUAGGGUGCGAGCGUUAAUCGGAAUUACUGGGCGUAAAGCGUGCGCAGGCGGUUAUAUAAGACAGAUGUGAAAUCCCCGGGCUCAACCUGGGACCUGCAUUUGUGACUGUAUAGCUAGAGUACGGUAGAGGGGGAUGGAAUUCCGCGUGUAGCAGUGAAAUGCGUAGAUAUGCGGAGGAACACCGAUGGCGAAGGCAAUCCCCUGGACCUGUACUGACGCUCAUGCACGAAAGCGUGGGGAGCAAACAGGAUUAGAUACCCCAGUAGUCCCUGUCUCUUAUAU
rnacentral:rRNA from 1 species